rnacentral:rRNA from 1 species
CCGGGGCUUCUUCUACGGCUACCGUCAUUAUCUUCACCGUUGAAAGAGCUUUACAACCCUAAGGCCUUCUUCACUCACGCGGCAUGGCUGGAUCAGAGUUUCCUCCAUUGUCCAAUAUUCC